rnacentral:rRNA from 1 species
AACUAACGCUGGCGGCGUGCCUAACACAUGCAAGUCGUACGAGAAAGUUGGCUUCGGCCGAUGAGUAAAGUGGCGCACGGGUGAGUAAUGCGUGGAUAAUCUGCCCUUUAGUUGGGAAUAACGUACCGAAAGGUGCGCUAAUACCUGAUAAUACUGCAUAACUACUGUUGUGUAGUCAAAGAAGGCCUCUGUUUACAAGCUUUUGCUGAAGGAUGAGUCCGCGUACCAUUAGCUGGUUGGUGGGGUAAUGGCCUACCAAGGCUACGAUGGUUAGCUGGUCUGAGAGGAUGAUCAGCCACACUGGAACUGAGACACGGUCCAGACUCCUACGGGAGGCAGCAGUGAGGAAUUUUGGACAAUGGGGGAAACCCUGAUGCAGCAACGCCGCGUGGAGGAUGACGGCCCUUGGGUUGUAAACUCCUUUUCUGUGGGACGAGAGAGGACGGUACCACAGGAAUAAGUCACGGCUAACUACGUG